rnacentral:rRNA from 1 species
AGUUUGAUCCUGGCUCAGAACGAACGCUGGCGGCAUGCCUAACACAUGCAAGUCGAACGAGAUCUUCGGAUCUAGUGGCGCACGGGUGCGUAACGCGUGGGAAUCUGCCCUUGGGUUCGGAAUAACAGUUAGAAAUGACUGCUAAUACCGGAUGAUGACGUUAAGUCCAAAGAUUUAUCGCCCGAGGAUGAGCCCGCGUAGGAUUAGCUAGUUGGUGUGGUAAGAGCGCACCAAGGCGACGAUCCUUAGCUGGUCUGAGAGGAUGAUCAGCCACACUGGGACUGAGACACGGCCCAGACUCCUACGGGAGGCAGCAGUGGGGAAUAUUGGACAAUGGGCGAAAGCCUGAUCCAGCAAUGCCGCGUGAGUGAUGAAGGCCUUAGGGUUGUAAAGCUCUUUUACCCGGGAUGAUAAUGACAGUACCGGGAGAAUAAGCUCCGGCUAACUCCGUGCCAGCAGCCGCGGUAA